rnacentral:lncRNA from 1 species
UCGGGGCAGACGGCAGGACCGGGGCUGAUGCUGUGCCUGCCUGGCCCGGCCCCGCCGGCGAGGCCUCUCCGGGGCGAGGAUCAGCAGCUGGACUGACAAACGAGUGCGAGAGGGGAGGGUAGGUGGAGAAAUCCCCUGGUGAAGUGUGGCUGAUCUUCCUCUUAGAAGAUGCUCAGCCACAAUGGUACAUCCACCUGGGCUCACUGUUAAUUGUAUUUUACAGCAGAUUCAGGACAUUUUGGAGUGGACAGAAUUUUUCAAUUAAUAACUUGUUCACUGAGAAAUGCAGUUUUGAGUCAGCCAAAAGUAUUCAUUAA